rnacentral:rRNA from 1 species
GAUGAACGCUGGCGGCGUGCUUAACACAUGCAAGUCGAACGAAGCAUUUAAGACAGAUCACUUCGGUUUGAAGUCUUUUAUGACUGAGUGGCGGACGGGUGAGUAACGCGUGGGUAACCUGCCUCAUACAGGGGGAUAGCAGCUGGAAACGGCUGGUAAUACCGCAUAAGCGCACAGUACCACAUGGUACAGUGUGAAAAACUCCGGUGGUAUGAGAUGGACCCGCGUCUGAUUAGCUUGUUGGCGGGGUAACGGCCCACCAAGGCGACGAUCAGUAGCCGACCUGAGAGGGUGACCGGCCACAUUGGGACUGAGACACGGCCCAGACUCCUACGGGAGGCAGCAGUGGGGAAUAUUGCACAAUGGAGGAAACUCUGAUGCAGCGACGCCGCGUGAGUGAAGAAGUAGUUCGCUAUGUAAAGCUCUAUCAGCAGGGAAGAUAGUGACGGUACCUGACUAAGAAGCUCCGGCUAAAUACGUG